rnacentral:tRNA from 1 species
GUUUUUAUAGUUUAAUAAAACAHUUGGUCUUGUAAAUCAAAAUUAAGUAAUUUACUUUAAAAACU